rnacentral:rRNA from 1 species
GGNGGGANAUUAUUGGGCCUAAAGCAUCCGNUAGCCGGUUCUACAAGUCUUCCGUUAAAUCCACCNGCCUNAACAGNUGGGCUGCGGAGGAUACUAUANAGCUAGGAGGCGGGAGAGGCAAGCGGUACUCAGUGGGUAGGGGUAAAAUCCGUUGAUCCAUUGAAGACCACCAGUGGCGAAGGCGGCUUGCCAGAACGCNCUCGACGGUGAGGGAUGAAAGCUGGGGGAGCAAACCGGAUUAGAUACCCGGGUAGUCCCAGCUGUAAACGAUGCAGACUCGGUGAUGAAUNGGCUUNUUGCCAANUCAGUGCCGCAGGGAAGCCGUUAAGUCUGCCGCCUGGGGAGUACGGUCGCAAGACUGAAACUUAAAGGAAUUGGCGGGGGAGCANAA